rnacentral:misc_RNA from 1 species
GCGUACUGAGAAAACCAAAAGAUCAUACCACUCUUUUACUAAAUUGUUACACCAAAUUAAAAGAUGUUGAGAAGCUGAAUGAGUUUAUCAAAAGUGAGGAUGGGGUUGGGGAACAAAAGUUUGAUGUUGAGACUGCAAUAAGGGUAUGCAGAGCUGCCAAUUAUCACGAGCAUGCCAUGUCUGUUGCUAAGAAAGCUGGGAGGCAUGAAUGGUACCUUAAAAUUUUGCUUGAAGAUCUAGGCAGGUAUGAAGAAGCUUUACAAUAUAUCAGCAGCCUUGAGUUGAGUCAAGCUGGGGUGACAGUGAAAGAGUAUGGCAAAAUUCUUAUUGAGCAUAAGCCAGCUGAAACAGUUGAGAUACUCAUGAGGCUUUGCA